GUAGUAUUGGCAGAGUUGGUAUUGCACUGGUCUUGAAAACCAGCAUUCCGAAAGAUAUGGGAGUUCGAUUCUCUCACACAGCG
rnacentral:tRNA from 1 species